AAAGUGUACAGUGCAGACACAGUUGAGCAGGCAGUACAUUUGGUGAUGGGUGUGCUCAGGCCUCUGUAGGACGCAGGGGGCAAAGAAGAGCUCAACUCUAGCCCUGGUUUUGCUCAACACACGGUGCCCAGUGUGGGCCACGGUAGCCUAGAGGAAGGGGAACUUGUCGAAUUGCUCCACCCAGAAGGUGAUGCUUACAGCAGCCCUGUACGCACACAGGCACACACACACAUACACACACUGUAGGAGUGUACAUCUCUCUCCCUGAGUCCUGCGAGUCCUGGCUGCCUGACUGGAACUGAGGAGCCCCUCUUGAUGUCAUCUUGGCUGCUCACGGUGCAACCUUUCUUGGGUUUUCAGCUGUAAUAUCCAAGGCAGUGAUUCGUGGACUUGUGCAGUCGAACCAGGCCGCAGACCAGCUGAGCUGUUGUCCAGCCUGUGUGGUGAGUCACACGUGGUAUAAGCUAUCUACUA